AAUUGGACUGCAGGAGCAUCUCUAUCAAGAGCUACAGGUGCAUCUCAUUCCAUAACUAACAAUGGCUGUCUACCAACUUUUUACAGAGAAGGCAGAUGCGACGCACAGUGUACAUACUUAAUUUGCAAGGUAAAUUCAACAGAAUGAUUAGAGACACAUCAUCUGCAAAUCUCUCAGUAAGAUGUAAUGACGGUAAAGUGGAUGCACUGUCACUCAGAUAGUAGAAGAGAUUGUGCACUGAAGUGGCACGUAAAAGUAGAUAUAGCUUCAGGUUAUGGUCAGAUAACUUACUCCCAUAACCCACUGCAUGUUGUCCUUACUCCAUAGAAUACUGUUACAGAUGGAUGCAAAAUGUCGCUGGAUGUUUGUUGUGAAGACAGUAAUGCUGUUGAAUGGGAUGUUCCUGAAGAACAUCAUAUGUCAGAGCUCGGACACCAGUGACACGUGCAGACUAAAAAAUGUACUGUUUGUCAGUGCCAAAGAGUCUGCUUUUUUUCCAUCAGAGGCUGUCCAUCACCAGUUCAGUGAAACUAAACUCUGUUUUAAUGUUCAGGCUAAGAGAGCAGAAUGCUGUGAGACAGAAGAUUUCAACUGCAACAUUACCAUAAGAGAUGGCAGAGACAACACCACCAUCAUACUCCCUGAAUAAAGAGAUUCUAUCCAAGCAAGAUAUUGUAGUAAUGCCUGAACCAGAUCAUAACUUCUCAUGUAUUCCAUCAAAGUUCUACAACGGAACAGGUUUCCUCUAUUACAUUCACAAGUGCUGGAAUGUGGGUGUCAGGAAUACUAGAUUGACCCAAGCGGACCUUUGUGGAAAUCACUCAUCCUAUGAUAAGCACGCUUGCGGAGCAGAAACAAACCUCAAGCUCACCAUUGAUGAUAAUGGGAGAAAGACAUGUGUGUCACGUAAGCCACCAGAAGAAAAGCCAGACCCUACUCCUCCCCCCACCAUGGAAAGCACACACUGUAAGUUGGAGAGAGAAAUUGCUGGUAAAGUCAGCCCAGACACUGCAGUAAAUGUCAUGAAUAAGCUCUCCUCCCUGCUGGAACUGAUGGGCAACUGCAGCACAGCAGCCAUCACAAUGGGUGAUAUUAAAGGGUUGCUCACUAAACUCCCCUCCAAAAAUCAUAGCGACAUCAAAAAUGGCAUUACAACAAGUGGUGAUAUGAGAAUUCUUGAGAAUAACACUGAUUUGGUGUCAGACUUCUCUCGGUCUGGUGAAAAUUCCUAAAGAAGCAAGUGCCAUGGCAGUAAAAAGAAAUGGAUCAUAUGCUGGAGUUAUGCUUUUUCCAAGAAUGUUUCAGGAUGACCCCAACAGCUUCUUUUUCAACGAUGAAGUAGUGGGAAUUGAAAUGGGAGCAGAAAUAUCCAAUCUCUCCCAAACCAUAGACAUUCAUUACAGUAAUGUGGACAAGAACGGAAGUAUUGCUUCUUGCAGGUCGUGGGAUGGCAAUGGUACUGUAAAAAAUGUUUACAUAACAAAUUAAAAGCCCACUGUAUGAGAGCAGGAUUUGCUCUGUCAAAUAUUCGUCAGUUAUUCAUACAAAAAGCCAUAGGUACUGUAUGGUAGAAUUUGACGAAAUUUACAUGUAAUAUGCCAACAUGUGAAAAGAUUGCAACAUGACAUAAAAAACGAAAAAAUGAGCUAUUCCUAGAUUUUCUCUGUUGCUUAUAAAAACCUGUAGACUGAUUUCAGUGUAAAGAACCUGGGCUUGGAGUUUUCAGGAUGCUCACUCCCACAUGCCUUGCCACAAUAAAGGUCUAUCUUGCGCACUGCAACACUACAGCACUGGUAGUAUACUAUUGGUAGCUUCAGAAUGGCCCAGUUACCAACACAAGAAAUACCCCUACACAAACCAUGCAAAAACAAAAAACUGAAAAUUUAUCUCAUGAAGCCCGUUUGGCCAAACGUGAAUUGGAGCAAGGUCAAGGGAAAACUAGGGUCAACAUG